rnacentral:pre_miRNA from 1 species
GGAGUACUCCCUCCGUUCGAAAUUACUUGUCGCGAAAAUUGAUGUAUGUAGAUGUAUUUUAGUACUAGAUACAUCUAUUUUCGAGACAAGUAAUUUCGAAUGGAGGAAGUACAUG